rnacentral:rRNA from 1 species
AGAGUUUGAUCCUGGCUCAGAACGAACGCUGGCGGCAGGCCUAACACAUGCAAGUCGAACGCUCCGCAAGGGGAGUGGCAGACGGGUGAGUAACACGUGGGAACAUACCCUCCGGUUCGGAAUAACUCAGGGAAACUUGUGCUAAUACCGGAUACGUCGGCGACGAGAAAGAUUUUUCGCCGGAGGAUUGGCCCGCGUCUGAUUAGCUAGUUGGUGAGGUAAUGGCUCACCAAGGCGACGAUCAGUAGCUGGUCUGAGAGGAUGAUCAGCCACAUUGGGACUGAGACACGGCCCAAACUCCUACGGGAGGCAGCAGUGGGGAAUAUUGGACAAUGGGCGCAAGCCUGAUCCAGCCAUGCCGCGUGAGUGAUGAAGGCCCUAGGGUUGUAAA